rnacentral:rRNA from 1 species
GAUGAACGCUAGCGGCAGGCUUAAUACAUGCAAGUUGAGGGGCAGCAUGAUAUACGCGAGUAUAUUGAUGGCGACCGGCGGACGGGUGAGUAAUAGGUAGGAGACCUACCUCAUACAGGGGGAUAGCAUAGAGAAAUCUGUGGUAAUACCCCAUGAGGUUAUAUGAAUAGAGGCAUAUAAUCAAAGCAUAAGUGAUUAUGCGGUAUGAGAGGGGCCUACUGACCAUUAGCUAGUUGGUGAGGUAAGGGCUCAUCAAGGCGAAGAUGGUUAGGGGUUUUGAGAGAGAGACCCCCCACAUUGGAACUGAGAGACGGUCCAGACUCCUACGGGAGGCAGCAGUAGGGAAUAUUGGGCAAUGGGCGAAAGCCUGACCCAGCCAUGCCGCGUGAAGGAAGACGGCCUUAUGGGUUGUAAACUUCUUUACUACGCGAAUAGAGGUUAGUACGAGAUACUAAUAGGAAGGUAGUGUAGUAAAAGCACCGGCUAACUCCGUG